rnacentral:tRNA from 2 species
AGGGGCGUGGCGCAAUUGGUAGCGCACCGGUCUCCAAAACCGGGGGUUGCAGGUUCGAGUCCUGCCGCCCCUG